UACGAAGGGGGCUAGCGUUGCUCGGAAUUACUGGGCGUACAGCGCACGUAGGCGGCUCUUUAAGUCGGGGGUGAAAUCCUGGAGCUCAACUCCAGAACUGCCUUCGAUACUGAAGAGCUUGAGUCCGGGAGAGGUGAGUGGAACUGCGAGUGUAGAGGUGAAAUUCGUAGAUAUUCGCAAGAACACCAGUGGCGAAGGCGGCUCACUGGCCCGGUACUGACGCUGAGGUGCGAAAGCGUGGGGAGCAAACAGG
rnacentral:rRNA from 1 species